rnacentral:rRNA from 1 species
GACGAACGCUGGCGGCGCGCUUAACACAUGCAAGUCGAGCGAGAACCAGGGCCUUCGGGCCUGGGGACAGCGGCGAACGGGUGAGUAACACGUGGGUAAUCUACCCUCGAUACUGGGAUAGCCCGGGGAAACCGAUUAAUACCGGAUAGCCUCUCGAGCUCUCGGGCGUCGUGAGAAAAGGUAGCUUCGGCCUCCGAUCGAGGAUGAGCCCGCGGCGGAUUAGCUUGUUGGGUGGGGUAAUGGCCACCAAGGCAACGAUCCGUAGCUGGUCUGAGAGGACGAUCAGCCACACUGGGACGUGAGACACGGCCCAGACUCCUACGGGAGGGCAGCAGUGGGGAAGUCUUGCCC